UAAGAGGACCCAAGAAUUAAAAUCAAAAGAGCUAUGCUAGAAGAACAAGCUAAAGUUUAUUUUUCUUUCUCUCAUCAUCGUUAAAAACUAUUCAAGGUUAGAUGGUGGACAAACCAUAUCAGAUCUUUGUGCUUCAAUUUUUUUUUCCGUAAUUUUUCUCUAAUUUUCAAUAUUAUUGGGUUUUUCAUUUUGUUUUAGAGUUGAGUUUUAUAUCUGGGUCUUGAUGUAAUAGGGGAAAUUGAUUUUUAGUUAACCAGUUUAAUUAUUGCAGCAUCUGCAAAGACAUGACGAAGCCUAAAGCUGAUUCUUAAUUUUUCAGAGAUUUUGAAGAUGAAGAAAAAUAAGUUUUGGGUUGCACAAGGGAAUGGAAUGUCAUGUCUCUUGUACUGAUUAUAUAUGUCAAAUGGGGGUACUUUGGUUCAUUGUUUUAAUUAGUCGGUGGUGGGGAUAACUGAUUGGUCUUGCAAUCAAUUGAAGAAGGGUUGAUACAGAUGAUGUAAAGGAACAUUUUAAUGGAGUGGUCUUGUCUGCAGCUAGGUUUCAGAUGAUGUAGUUGGCUUAGCUCAUGUAACUAGUAGUGGUGCGACUUAAAAGUCUGGGGUCAAAAACAAGAAUGGGUGCUCUAGACUUAUGGAUGGAUUUGGAAUGAAGGAGAUGGUGACUGUUGUGGCGGUGGUGGGUUUUUUCUCUAGCAUCUGCAGUGAGUUUUGGAUGGAAUUGUCUAAAUGGUGGUUUUGUGGGUGAUUCUGCAGACGUAAAUGAAGAAGAAAAUAUGGAUUUGGAUCAUUUUGGUGUGGAUUUAAUGCCAGGAAAAUCAAACCCAAGUCCUGGUUUUGUUGUUACUCAAACAAGUGAUGAAUGGAUGGGUGUUGAGAUGGCCUGUCUGUUGGCUUAGUCAAUUCUGUAGUGGGAGUUAUCGGUUGUGCUGGUUGCACUCGAAUUUGGAAGGACAUGAAGUAGAAAUAAGUGUUAUGAUUGGACUUUAGAAGGGUCUGCAUUUGGAAGUCAGGCGGUGAUUGAAUUGGCCUUUGGAAAAUUAUUUAUUCGAUCCAGAUUGGAGUCUCGCGGCACCUAAUGUAUUUGCACAAUGCUUCGGAAAAUGGAGAAAAAGAAGUUGGAGAAGCUCACACGCAAGGGACCUGAAAAUGCAACACCAACCCCAUCAGCUCUUGUGUCUGAAGCAAGGAUUACAACUUCCAAACCAAAUGCUGCAACUUCCUCGACUUCAAAGACAUCAACUCAGCUGACGAGAACCAAUCUUAUGGAGCAGGACUAAGGAUAGGUUACACCGAAGUUGAAACAGUUAGAAAACCAUUGUUCCCUCAUUUUUUGAACUGUAGAUAAUAAAAAUCUGAUGUUAGUUUGGAUGCACAAAUUUUCUUUGCAACAAACAACAAAAUUGAUGAUGUUUUCUUAAUUUUUUUUAUUGAUAAUACCAAAUAUAUUUUGACUUCUA